UAGGGAAUCUUCGGCAAUGGACGAAAGUCUGACCGAGCAACGCCGCGUGAGUGAAGAAGGUUUUCGGAUCGUAAAACUCUGUUGUUAGAGAAGAACAAGGACGUUAGUAACUGAACGUCCCCUGACGGUAUCUAACCAGAAAGCCACGGCUAACUACGUGCCAGCAGCCGCGGUAAUACGUAGGUGGCAAGCGUUGUCCGGAUUUAUUGGGCGUAAAGCGAGCGCGGGCGGUUUCUUAAGUCUGAUGUGAAAGCCCCCGGCUCAACCGGGGAGGGGCAUUGGAAACUGGGAGACUUGAGUGCAGAAGAGGAGGGGGGAAUUCCAUGUGUGGCGGUGAAAUGCGUAGAUAUAUGGAGGAACACCAGUGGCGAAGGCGGCUCUCUGGUCUGUAACUGACGCUGAGGCUCGAAAGCGUGGGGAGCAAACAGG
rnacentral:rRNA from 1 species